rnacentral:lncRNA from 1 species
AUAUAUAUAUAUAUAUAUAUAUUUAAAAAAAGAAAGUAAUGAAGUGGUAAUUGCAACUCAGGUCUGUCUGAUUCUAGAGCUCAACACUCACUCAGCAAAUACUUCUGUGCAUACAUUUUUGUAUGACUUGUGUUAGUACACACAUGGUACAUUUAUAAACAUAGUAUCGCUGAGUCAAAGGUUAUGCAAUAUUUGAACUUCAACAUGUAUUUUCAAAUUAAUUUCCAAAAAGUUUUACCAAUUAGCACUCAUUAGUGCAGAAAAUCAGAGCACUACUUUCUCCAUACUCUUGCCAGCAUUGUGUAGUAUUUAUCUUCCCCCCCAUAUGAUAGGCAAAAUAAUUAGUGUUAUUAGUGUUGUUUCAAUUUUCAUUUCUUUAAUAAUUUACUGUUUUAGUAAUAAAAUGUAUAUAUUUAAAUAUCAUUCUUGUCAUCAGCUGUUGCAUUAUACCUCAUAUGCCUAUCAUCUCUGUUUUGGAGAAGUGGCAUAGAAUUCUCAAGAAAUUUUUUUUUGUGCGUUUGUUUAUGUGUGUGUGUGUGUGUGUGCAGUACAUUAUUCAUUCUCUGUAUCACCACAUAUAUCCAAAUUCAUUGUUUUUCUUUUUUUUUCUGUUCUUUGGAAUUUGUUUCUGGGUUAAGCACAGUCAGUUGCCAUGCUGCCAGCAAGUUCCCAUUAUUCAAUUCAACAAUCAGUAAAGGUUUCUUUUUUAAAAAAAAAGAAAUUUAUUUAUUUAUUCAUGAGAUACACACACACACAGAGAGAGAGAGAGAGAGGCAGAGACACAGGCAGAGGGAGAAGCAGGCUCCCUCAGGGAGCCUGACCCGGAACUUGAUCCCGGGACUCGAUCCCGGGACCCCAGGAUCACUCCCUGGUCCAAAGGCAGCCGCCCAACCGCUGAGCCCCCCAGGGAUCCCUCAGUUAAGGUUUCAGGACUUGGGCAAGGUAACUGACUAGAGAGUAGGAACACACCAUUUAAAGAUGCUUUUUUUCUCAUAAAAAUGAUGGCAGUUAUGGAAAGAGAGAAGAAAAACUUUUUGAAAACUAACGUGAUAUGAAUUAAUACAUGUAUACACACAUGCAUAUGUACAUGUUCUUUUAAAAGAGCGAAGAG